rnacentral:tRNA from 1 species
UUAAAUAUGAAGCAAAAAUUUGCAUUUAAUUUCGACUUAAAAGAUAUGAGUUUUUACUCCUUAUUUAAU